rnacentral:lncRNA from 1 species
CUCGGCCUCUGAGCCACAUCGGACGCUUUUACUGAACACGUGCACUAGUGGAAUCGUGCGUUUCUAGACUGACAGCGCUCUUAGGAGAGGCAGACAGGAAGUCUUCUUCAAGGAAAUCUUCUCGAGUGCUUUCAAAAGAGUCCAUUGAAAAUUUCUUCAGCAACAGAAGCAGAGAGAACUCAGCCUCGCGGCCUGGUUUCUCUAUUGUUCUUGGCAACGGACAAAGAAAGAGGGAAAGAAGUCAGCCCCGCAACAGAAUCCCUGACUCACUUUGUCGGAAGGCAAUAAACUGAGUUAGAAGAAUUACAGAGAUAUCCAGCU